CCGGCUUGGGGUCUGCACCGUCUCCACCAGUGGGGCAAGUCACAUCGCUAGCAGCAGCUCUUGGGUACCAGGACUUGCUAGGGCCUCUUUUCGCCCUUUAGGGUGGCUUCCAAUGACUCCCUAACAAGAGCCAUCGCCCUAGACAAGUGUGGCCCCUCUCAGGAGGUCGGUGCACGCCUUCUCAGAGCCAGCCCAUGGCGCCGCGGAACUCUGAGGGCCCGCACCCCGUUCCGCAGCACCCAUGGGCAUGGCCACAGACCCGCCCACCCUGCCUCUUGCUGCCACCCAACAUGGGCACCUCAGGCCUAAACCACGGGCUCCAUGUCCUCCACACCCACCCCAGCGCCUGGUCCUUGGUCCUCGCGGCCUUCGGGAUCCCCGGGCUGUCCGGGGUCCCCAAACUGAUGGCUGCUGUUAGGAGUGCGCCAGCUCAGUGGAGGGAGUCCCCGGGAACAUUUCUAAAGAAGAGGAGAGGAGAGUGAACAUAUCAGUUAGGAAAGACCUGUAUUAUGGGCUUCUUUGUAUCAUCCCCACCCGCAAACGGGAUUGUAAGCCUCAUGAGGAGAGGCGGUUGGCUACUGAAGGGGCACAGAUCUGGGUUAAAAUCUUGUGUCCACUCCUUAAUAGUCGGGUGACCACUCUGAGUCGUGGUUUCCAUAACGGAAGGGCAAGGGAAACAUCCUUGACAGGAAAUUAAUAAGAUAUGAGAAUCAAAUGUGAAAAAAUAUAUGCAAAAAACACCUCCUAAAGGUCAUAGCUUAUAAAAAUGCCCAGUUUUGUCAUGUCCCUUGAGACUGGGGGAUUAAGUCUCAUCACUGAUCCCUUCCGGGGUCUUACAUCUAGAAGCGGGUCUGAGACUGCUUAUUGGAUUAGCAGCAGCAGCCAUCAGCCAAUGAGGGAAGCCAACUCUUUAUGGAAAGGAAUGCCUCUUUGAUAACAAGGCCCUGAGUCUGUUUCCAGCUAGCUUUGUCCUCCACACUAAAUGAGGACCAAGAAAAAUCAACAAUGAUUCUAAGCGUCAUGGAGACUUAGGUAUGCUCUCAAAAGUGAAACCAGGCCGGGCAUGGUGGCUCACGCCUGUAGUCCCAGCACUUUGGGAGGCUGAGGUGGGCAGAUCACUUGAGGACAGGAGUUCGAGACCAGCCUGGCCAACAUGAUGAAACCCUGUCUCUACUAAAAAUACAAAAACUAGCUGGGUGGAAUGGUGGGUGCCUGUAAUCCCAGCUAAUUGGGAGGCUGAGACAGAAGAAUCGCCUGAACCUGGGAGGUGGAGGGUGCAGUGAACCAAGAUCAUGCCACUGCAUUCCAGCCUGGAUGACAGAGCAAGACUCCAUUAAAAAAAAAAGAGUGAAACCAAAUGUCUGAGAAUUCAGGACAAAUUCACAUAUCCCUCCCCUUCUCAGUGGCCUUCAAAGCCUCCCCGUUGCUUUCAAGAGAAGGUUCUAGAAAAUGUCUCCCAAACAGACCUUCAGAUCUCUCAGGUCAAUCUUCUCUGGAACUCUUUGCUUUCCGGAUCUCACACUUGGCUUGUGCUGGCUCCGGUCCUGGGGGCCCUCUCUACAUCUCUCUGCUUUACCCAGAGUCCUGCCAUCCUUGAUUCCAGCUCCUGCCCAUCCUGACUGCCUGAGCGCUCCGGCUUCCAACAUGGGUUGUGCAUUCUAAGAUGGCACAUUCUCUUUAAGGUUGUGCAUUCUAUGUCUUCAACCAGAAUGUAAGCAGUCGGAAGGCAGGGGCUAGGGCUUUUAUUUCUCAGGUAACACCUAUCAGUCCCUUGCUCAAAAUGAUUUUCUAGCGGUUCUCUUUUAUUGUACAAAUUUGGGAUCCAGACUACACUCUCCCAUAUGAUCCCUGUCUAUUCAUAUUUGACUUAAUUAUUUAAAUUUAAUUUGAUAGGGGUCAGAAGUUUAUGACAAUUUUAACAAGUACAACUUACUAUUUGUUCAUGUUGAUUUAAUAUUCAUAACUUAUUUAUUUUCCUCAUAUACUAUUUACCUUUUUUCAUACAACAAUUCAGAAAGGUGAUUCAAACAAGAAACUUCACAGCAGGACUAUGUAUUUCUUAAGCCAAUUCUGUCUUUACUGUUAGAAAAGAACUGAUAAGCCAGGCGAGGUGGCUCAUGCCUGUAAUCCCGGCACUUUGUGAGGCCAAGGAGGGAGGAUCACUUGAGCCCAGGAGUUUGAGACCAGCCUGAGCAACAUGGCAAAACCCUGUCUCUACAAAAAAUUAAAAAAAUUAGCAGGGUUUGGUGGCAUGUGCCUGUGGUCUCAGCUACUCAGGGGGAGGCUGAGUAGGGGAGGAUGGCUUAAGCCCAGGAGGCAGAUGUUGCAGUGAGCUGAGGCUGCACCACUGCACUCCAGCCUGGGCAACAGAGCAAGACCCUGUCUCAAGAAAAAAAAAAAAAAAGAGAACUCAUAACCUAUCUGCAAGAUACCAUAGGGGGGUACACAGCUGCAAGGGAAUUGUGUUCUGCAUCUAUCACUGAAUACCAGAAGCUGAGGAACACAGUGUAGCAUAUGACCAUUAAGCGGCGUGAUUUUCAUUCAGUAAAUAUGUACAGAGGGUCCUGGAUAUCCUGGGACUGCUCUAGGUACUAGGAUAGAACAGCAAACAAACAUUGUAGUGAAAUAAUAAUAAUAAUGAUAAUCAUAGCUACACUUAUUAUUCAUGAUGUGCAAGACCUCAUGCUAAGAGCCUGAUGUGAAUCAUCUCAUUUAAUUUUCACGCCAUCCUUGAGAGGUAGGUGCUAAUAUUGUCUGGUUUUACGGGUGAGAAACUUGAGGCACAUGAAGGGUAAGUCACUUUUUAAAGGCCCACUGUUAGGAAUUCAUGAACUAAUAAAGGUUAAUCCACCACCUCAGUUUCCCACCUCUUCCCUCAGUAUUUCUACUAGUGGCUUCUCAUCUGAUCAAAGGAACAGAGAGGUUUACACUGACCUAACAAAAGGAUCUUAGUAAAUUAUUCCUGCUGGAGAGGAAUUACAAUUAUAAUGAUAAUUCCUGGAGGGGAUGUCCCGCUGAAGAUUCCAAUUAUAAUGCUGUUAUUUAGCUUCUGCUAAGAGAAGAACUAAAGGUCACCCCGGUCAUCUUUUGGGAGGGUAGCACCCCCUUGAAGAUGUGUUUGGAGGGUGGCCCAUGGAGUUCUGCUGCUGGGAAGAUACAGACUGGAGUAUCAUCAGACUGAGUCAAGCAGCAGGAGCCCCCUUGCCUGAGCUUAGAAAACCUGAGCAAAGGCCCCAGGAGGAUCUAUCAGUAGCAGGGAACCUACUCAUCGGCUAAGUUCAUGGGACUGGGCAGAACCAGCUAUCAAUAGCGCCACGGUGUGGUGGUGAGACGCAGUGGCGGCAACAGAUUGAUGAAAUUCGCAUCCCGACCCCACGGGUGUCGAAGUCAUCACUUCCUGUGACAGCUCCCUUUGGGGACUGUGGGUCCCUAGGUCUCCUGGAAAAUUCAGGGUAAGAGAAGACCCCUUAGGAAAAGCUACUGAGUUUUCUGUCAACAUCUACUAAUUUUCUCCCUGUGUUUGUGAAGCAAUUCGUAUCACUUAAACUUUCACUAUGUACACAUACAUAAAAUAUGUAUUAAUACAAUUAGAUGUAUUUUGUUGUUUUGAAUUAAAAAUAGCAGUUGCAUCAGCAUUAGGCAACUUACUAGAUAAAAAUGUGACUCUGAAACAGUGGAAGAGCUUUUCCUCUACUCUUAGCCCCCAUGGUGACUGCUGAAAGAGCUAGUUGAGUGAACCCAUUGAUUGCAUUGAGUAGGCACAGACUAUUAGUUGCAGGCAAUGCUGUCCACCUUUUUAAGGGGCCCUGGUUCCUCUCUGGGACCAGAGCCACUCCUUGCCCUCAGCAACCCCAUUCAUUACCAGCUGUACUCUAGUUUACUUUGCCCUGGGAAGCAGCCGAGCAGAUGUGCUUGGCAGGAAGUAACUGCUGUUCCUCCCCAGAGCUUUCUUCGUGGUGCAAGCUACACUGAGCUGUUAGGCCUGCAGUCUACGCUCAGUUGUACCAUGUACAGUUAGUUUGUUUAGGGCCAGCUAUCAUCAAUUAUUGUGCAAAGAACUUUCUAAUCCUCAAAUCUGACUUGCACCAGAGAGGGCGUAUUGUCAGCGGGGGUCUCCUGGGCCUCCUUUGCAAUACCUUGCCAAUUCUAAUUGUGUAGCACUAGUGUUUGCCCCACCAAUAUUAGCCCCUUGUUGUCCCUAUUGCCAGAGGAUCUCACUGUCCACACCCCUGGGGAUGGCACAUUAUCAUAACUUGCUGUUAAUGGUUUCAUACUCAUCCCCUGCCCAUCUCUCCCAGGCCUCUCCCUGGUGCUCAAUGUUCACCAGGGCCCUGUCUCCCCACCCUCCUCAGCCUUAUACUCUGCAUGGGCAACAGGCAACCUGAGGGCCCUCUCCCCAGGGCUCUUCCUGUCACUGCCCCCAACCCAGGCUGUAAACUGUGAGCCCAAGAACUCUGGUCUUAUCCUUCUUUGAGACACACAGUACACGCUCAGUUAAGUGUUUGUUGAUUGACACUGGUGGGAAGCCCUGGGGAGGCAAAGGCAGAUGUGAACUUUGAAGAAGCAGACAACAUAAUUCUACCUUUCAGGCUUUCCUCAUUGUCUUUAGCAGGACUGGAACCAGAGUUGGGGGUCUGAGGUCAGGAAUUGGCUGAACAUGUCUCUUUCAACAGGGAACCCAUGGCUCUGAAGGAAGUAUUGGGGAAAGUGAUUCCAUAGUCUUCUUCUUCUCCUACCACUCUGAGAGAUUUCUGAGAGUUGACCAGUCCAUAAUGCUGCUUUUGGGCAGCAACAGGGAGACUGCUUCCAUAGCCUCCCCUCUACCCACUGCCGCCAAAAACUGGGAACAUUUGUAAGGAAGCCCCAAGGACUCAGAAUGACAGAACUCAUUAGCUUUGUGGAAUCCUCACUCAUUCCCCUGCCUCCAGGCAAGGUGGUUGCUAAAACCUUUCCCCUAAGGGCUGCAUAAUUUGAGAAAUGCAGCUCCCCGCAUUUCCCUCCUUGGAUACCCACAUUAGCGUUGGCCCUUGGAGGGCAUGUUAGCAUCAGAGGCCCUGGGAAGCCCUGCAGGUAAAGAAACCUGUUUGUAUUUAACCCCCAAAUUCCCAAUGGAACCACAGAACACUUAAAAAAUGGUCUUAAGCCCACUAACAUCAAAUAGAAUACACUUCAGGAAAUUCUGCCUUUAAAUCUUCAGGGUAAAUGUAUUUUUUUAAGAAACAAAUAGGGGCUGGUGUGUGGCUCACACCUGUAAUCCCAGCACUUUCGGAGGCCGAGGUGGGGGGAUCGCUUGAGCCCAGGAAUUUGUGACCAGCUUGGGAACCUUGUGCUUCUAGUCUUGUUUAAGUCUUACUCACCGCUACAUUUUCCUUUAGGAAUUCAGUUUUGUGUGUGGUUUCCAAUAGGGUUCUGUUUUAAUUUUGUAGACCAAUAAUUAGCAGUGUCGAUUUAUUUAGCAUUCAUUAAGCAGGCCAUCUUUUUAUCACUAACUUGAAAAAAAUCUCUCAUUAAAUAUUGUAUUCAUCUUUCAUUAGGUUCUGCAUACUUUAGUAGAGACCCUAUCUCUACUAAAAAUAAAAACGGUUAACUGGAUGUGGUGAUGCAUGCCUGUAGUCCCGGCUACUCAGGAGGCUGAGGUGGGAGGAUCAGUUGAGCUCAGGAGGUGGAGGCUGCAGUGAGCUGUGAUUGCAGCACUGCACCCAGCUGGGUGACAGACUCAGACCCUGUCUCAAAAAAAAAAACCCCAAA
rnacentral:lncRNA from 10 species